rnacentral:rRNA from 1 species
UACGGAGGGUGCAAGCGUUAUCCGGAUUCACUGGGUUUAAAGGGUGCGUAGGUGGCUUUGUAAGUCAGUGGUGAAAUGUUCCGGCUUAACCGGGAAACUGCCAUUGAUACUGCUUAGCUUGAAUCAGGUCGAAGUGGAUGGAAUAUUACAUGUAGCGGUGAAAUGCUUAGAUAUGUAAUAGAACACCGAUUGCGAAGGCAGUUCACUAGGCCUGUAUUGACACUGAGGCACGAAAGCGUGGG